GCAUUGUGGGUUUCGCGCUGCCCCUGCGACCGACACGGGCCUUGAUGUUUAAUUUGCUUCAGGAGUUGGCAACUUCAGGGACACCAUGGUGGCUCGUCAUGUAGCAGAGCUAGUGACAUUUCUCGGUGGCAGGUCCUGGCGCAAAACUUGGAAUGUGUGCAGUGAUCUGUAUGCCACCUUACCAUUGAGUCGGAAUGUGAAACUUGGGGUCCCCAUUCCCACGUUUUGGAAUUAAGGGCCAGGUAGGGAUAUGUGGUGGAACUCAGGUUCCCAGGAAUGACAUGCAUAAUGUAGGAUUCAGUUCUACAAAUGUUUGUUGAACGUCUACCCCUGCUAGGGCGAUAUGCUGCUGUGUAUGAAGACGGAGAACAUAGUAAUCACGACGAUAACGUGAAUGAGACGCAAAACGUUUCCCAAGUACGUUUUUAAUUGACUGUGUUCCUGGGAAUAAAGAUAUAUUUGUAAUCAAACAAGAGUAAACAGGCAUCUACUUCAGGAUGAAAUAUCGUCGCGUCUUCUCAACCAUAGUAGGCAUUAAUUUAAUUUGACGUUUUUUUAACGUCCCAACUGCCACAACAUGAAAUCCACUUAGCUUACUUGAAUGAAUGAAUUUUAGAAGGAAUAUUUAGUGCUGUGGAGAGUCGGAGUUAUUUACCAAGUUGCACAGAGAAAACCAUUUGAAGUAGCCUGUGAUACUUGCCCUGUGCUAAUUUCGCCUCUGUCCUGUGUCACCUAGCGUGGAUAUGGUGAGUGUCAGGGUCUGUCCCAGCUCUAGACAAAAUGUGGCCUCAACCCUUUGGUUCCAGCACCCUCCCUCAUGUUUUCUUGUUGCCUUUGGGGAAGCUGGCCCAUUGACCGUGGAGUUCGUAAAGAAGAACAUUAUCUGGGGUUUGGCAAGUGCUUUCCACUGUUUGGUCUGGGUAAAGAUCAGCCAGGAUAUUCACCUGAACCUUUACCGUUUUAGGACUCCCUUCAGCAUCUCUUUUGAAACAGUGUUUCCCUUUAUGAUGAUCUUUAGAAUCUUCUGAAUUGGUGGGAAGUCCCUGGCACUGCCCAUUUCCACUUCUUUUAGUGGGAAGAUAGGCAGGCCUUAAGCAUGGCCUCCACAGGACCCAGGGGCACACCCUCAGGUGUCACCUGGCGCCUUCCCUUAGCAGCACCUUGCAGGGAACGGCAGAGGAGGGGUUGGGUGCCACUGACCAGGGGCUGGGAGGAAAAGCUCUGCUGCUGCCCUGACUGGAUUCCGAGUCAUUUUGUGGUCCUGCACGUUCUUUGCGUGGCUCUCUUUUUAGGGAAGGGAAGCAAGUAUCUUAAGUCUGCCUCAUUAUGUAACUUCACUACUCAGAGAAAGUUCUGGUAGUUUUCUCCAUUUUGGUCAGUUUUCAGGAAACUUUUGUUACUAGUAGUAUGUUUUAUUUUGCUCAUAGCAGUAAUUGUGUGAUCUUGUUUAAAAGUCAUAAUAUACUCCCAAGAAAGAAAAUGUUACAUCCUUUUCUGAAUUGGUGGCAAUUACUGUUAUUGUUCUCUGAAAAAUAUGCAGAAACGUCAAAUGGGUUGAUACACACAGCACAGAAAUAUGUUGAAGUUUGUAGUCAAAUACUCCAUGUUAUUUGUAAGGUCGUAUAACUAAUGGAUGUGUAUACAGUCAGGCACCACAGAAAGACAUUUCAGGCAGCGAUUGACCGUGUGUACGACAGUGGUCCCAUUAGAUUAGUACCAUAUAGCCUAGGUGUGUAGUAGGCUGUACCAUCUAGGAUUGUGUAAGUAUACUCUAUGGUGUUCGCACAACGACGAAAUUGCCUAAGGACACAUUUCUCAGAACUAUCCCUGUCGGUAAGAUGGUGACUGUCUUAAUAAGUGUAGGCAGGUAAGCGACCUACAGCUAAGAUCAUCUUUUGCUAUUUUCUCUUUGUUGCAUCUUUUAUGGAAAGUGAAGAUUGUCUAAUUUAGUUCUCUUGUCCUCAUCCCUAACUUCCAAUUUUGAAAAUGGCACAUCUGUGGUGCCUGAGUACUUUUGUAAAAUUAUUCCUUUUACUAGGGAGAAAUUUAUAAUACUAAUAUAUGUCAUAAAAGGGGGAAUUUUCUUGUAUGACUAGAUUGAUCGAAAGAAUUGACCAGGUAGUAAAAACAGAAACAGCGGUGGGACAUGUUUUAAAUUGGGAGUGAGAUUGUCAUUAAUUUUAUUGUGGUUAAUUUCUUAUGUACCGCACGUUGGUUUAGCUACUAAGUGGCGAAGGCUUUAGAACUGACGGCACGUUUUACUGUCAACUGACUUCAAGGUCUUUGAUGAUCCAUACGAACAUUAAAUUUUACUUAGUUGAGACAGUUGUUUUUAGUUGGCUGUUUCAAGAAUAGACAUACUUAGAUAAAGUCAUUUAAGAUUUCACUUCUCACGUUGCGCUCAGAGGACGUUUUGGAGGUGUUAGAUCUUUAGGAAAGAGUGUAUCUUACUAGUAUGUGACCUUGAACACAUUUUAGAUUCCCUUUGAGUCCUGUUCCUCACGUGCAGCUAAAGAGGGGAUAAUAGUCCAUCUGACAGUUAUGUUGAGUAUAUGUUUUGUUUGAAGUAAAAUCCACAGUCUUUACCGUUGGCCUCAAGAUUGCUGCCUAGUUCUUCAGCUGGUCUUGAACAGCCAUCUCUCUGCCUUACCAGAGAGUUAUGCUCCAGCCUUUCUGUUCCUCAACAUCCCAGGCUGCUUCUGGCUUCCUCAUCUUUGACACAGUAGUUCUAUUUGCCUAGAAUGUUCUUCAGUAGCUCCUUGUCUGGUUGGUUCAUUCUCAGAUCUUAAUGCCCAGGGUCACCACCUCAGAGAAGCCUUGCCUGACUAGUCUUCCUUAUAGCUCCUUCAGUAAUCCCGUCUUAUCAAUUUGUAUGUUUCCAUCAUAACAUUUAUUACAGUCUGUAAUUGUUUACUUGUUUCUCGUCUAUCUCCCCACAUAAGUUUCAUGUGGGCAGGGUGUGGUCUGUGGUCUUUCUCUUUCUUCUCCCUAACAUUCCCAUGGGGGCCUGAUCACUGAGUAGGGAUGUGGUGUACAGAAAGUGCUUGUAGUUUUUACAUCGUUAUCUACACAUUAAAGACAAAGAUAUGCUGUGUAGAUCUUAGAAAUCCGUUGCUUAGUUAUCCCUAUCGGAGCUGAUCUGCUCAGCUGAAUAAAUUAUUAGCACUAAUAAGGCCAAAGUUCUUGUACUGCACGGCCCAAAUAGCACCACAGAGAGAGAAUUGUCUCUACCUGUAGGGCCAUAACGUGUAUCUGAGUUCACACACAUACCCAACUGGCUGACCGCAAAGAUGCACGGGCCUUCAUCACCUCUGGAAGUGUAGUUAUUAAUAGUGUGUGGAGAGUAGCUACUCGAAAGCACAUUUCCCUUGAUGUUAGCUUACAUAGCUUAGUAAGGUAAAAACCUCAGUUCUCUGGGACCUUCUGGCAUCCUUGGUUAUCUGAUGUAGAAUUAAGCAGGAAGGAAAAACUCAUUUGAAGUUAGACAAGCCAGAGACCUGGGUGACUCCCAUCACAACUGGUGAAGGCAGUCUUUCCUAGGGAUGCAAAUCUAGGUUUGAAGUUCAGCACUGUGAUUUUGUAGGGUAGGUUUGUAGAAUAAACUGUCUUAUUUGCCUUAUCUAUAAAAUAAUAAUAGUGUCUUUCUCAACAUUGGUGUGAAAAUUUAAUAAGAUAAUGCAUGUAAAUGUAUGAGUUCAGUACCUGGAAUAUAUCAAGUGCUAAUAGUAAUAAUUAGUUUAAAAUACACUGUGAUUAGUUGAAAAGAGUAUUCUGGUCAGUCAGCAGCGUGUAUGUAAGACUUGGUUGUUCUUGUUUAGGAAGCCCUGUAUGGGGAAAGGGUGAGAGACCAAAGGGACAAGGAAAACGGGAAUACAAGAGGAAGGAGAAUGGGAGUCUAUGGAAGUGUUAACGGUGGGGCUGCUAGAAUUGUGAGGAUUGCGAUGGCUGCAGUGUGAGCAGCGACUGGAUUCUUGGUGCUGGCUCGUUGCAGUUGGUUGGUGGGAGAUCUGGAACAGAAAAGGUGCUUCACUUGACCUUCUGCAAGGCCCUGCCCUCUUGUUUUCAUACUGUUUGUUUUAAUGUUAUUUUGUCACUCUUAACAGCCGUCACACUGAAAUUUUUUCUUAAAAUUAUUAAAAGGGCACCACACUUGGACACUAUGUUUGGGGCACGGUGACUAUUCCAUUGUCCCUGGGAGCAGACUCUUGAGUAAUAGAGGAGAAAGAAGAGAAGACCGAAGUGCUCUGAAGGCCUGGGAGACAGACAGUUACCUGAGCAUCAGGAAGCCGUGAAGGUGUCGCUGUGCCAUCCUGAAAUUUUCCAACAGCCUCGUUUCUGGGAUGUGCAAGGAACUGAGUGACUCAUUUGGAUCACCUGCUGCAUCAUCAGGAAACAGCGCCUGAGGGACAGAGGCUAGACUGGGAUUUAAGAUAGUGGAGUCUAAGCUCUGCUGGCUUACUGGCUGUCUCCAAGUGGGGCUACAUUUUGACCAUGGUUCAUAGAUGCAGAAUACUACAGCUGGGUAGAACAAUCUAUCUGUUCAGAAAGGACAUUUGUUAUAAACUUACUAAGAUAUUUAGAGAAAGCACUGCCUUCUAUCAGCCUCCCACAUUCUUGAGAAUGGACUCUACAAACUUGCCAAUGUGAGAGUUGAUGCUUCCCAUCUAGUAUGGAAGAAUCGGGUUCAGAAGUUUGUCACACUAUUUUUGAAAGUCAAUACAGUGUUGAAUUCAGUUGCUCACCUUGGAAGAGAGUGUGAGGAAGUUUGACUAUCCUUUAGUUUUAUCUUUAUCACCAAAAUGACAGGACCCAAAAUCCGUCUUCCUCCAACUGAGGUCAGGUUUUUGCCGUGGAGCAGGGCGGCAACCAGCACGUCUUUGUGAAGAUGAUCUCCUUUAUCUGAAAACAAAGGAACAACUUGCCUCCCAUUGUCUGUGUACUAAUCCUGAGUUGUGUUAUGGAAAGACUGAGAAUCCUGCAUCCCAUGAUUUUCUGUGCUUAAGCAAUGCACUUGUUGGACUAUGAGAAGGACACAAACACGAGAAACUUGGACAGGAAGACACAGAGAGGAGCUGUGAUGAAGGAGGCGGAGGGUAGUGAUGCAUCUCCAAGCGGAGGAACACCAAUGACACGGGAACACCAGACGCCAGGAGACAGGCAGGUAAUGCAUUCUCCCCCAGAGCAUCUAGAAGCAACGAAGCCUGCUGACACCUUGAUUUCAGACUCUUUACCUCCAGAACUGUGAGAGAAUACGUUUCUGCUGUUUGAAGCCGCCCAGCUUGUGAUAAUUUGUUAUGGCAGCUCUAGAAAAUGAGUACAGCUUGGUUCACACACAGUUUUAAAAAUGUUUGAAAUGGUUGCCAACAACUAAAAAUUGGAAGUUUUCAUAUAAAAAUUCAAAUUUCUCUUAAAGCACCCAAACUCAGAGCCCUCAUGUUAGUGGGGUCCCUGACUGGACCUGGAACUUGCUGUCUCUGCACACGCAGAGAAGUUACGUGCUCCCCCAUCACCUGCAGGAAGGGAGGGGUCUACCUUUGUAAUUAAAAUUUUUUUUUCUUUUUGUUUCUUAAUGGCAAACUUGUCCCAACACCAUUUACUAAGUAAUCCAACAACUCUCGACAGAUAUGAAAUGCUGCUUCUAUCGUCUACUAUGUGUUCAUAUAGCACUGCAGUCUAUUUUGGGGCUUUCUAUUCUGAUCCUCUUCUGUGUAAAUAGCCUCUCAUCAGCACUGCACAGUUGGACUUACGGCAGCUUGAAAAUAUAACAUUAAAUCUCUUCUGGCAAGUAGGUGAUCAAAGUUUCCUUUAGUACUAAAAUUGUAUCAGUUAGGAUACGUGAGUUUAAUAGAAGUGGACACAGAUUCUGCUUAGUAGACUGAGAAAGGUGACUCCAACCACUUAAAUAGGUCUUCCCACUGAAAAUGUUAGCAUUAGUUUUCUGGCUAUGGAUUGGCCUCCCACUACUGAUUACUUUUGCAUGAAAAAAGCAAUUUCAGUAAACAGUCAUCUCAUUAUCAUUGCAGUCGUGAAUAUCACUUGUCGUCUGAAAAAAUAUGUGGCAUGAGGAUAUGGAAGAAAUUUGUCAGUCUCGUAAACUUCAUUAAAAUGUAUGUGCAUGUCCAUUUUCCUCUAGUGAAAUGUCACCUUCUUGAAUUUUGUAUGCACAAAAUUUGAAUUAAUAGAAAAAGGAAUACGUUAGGGAAUCCUGUAACCAUAUCUGUAGAAUACGUAAAGGUGUGCUUAAAAUGGUUAAUUUAUGAUGAUGUUCAGAAAAACCUUCUAUUUAAAUUUUUUUAUUUUUAUAAUUUUUUAAUUUGAAAUAAUUAUAGGUUCAUAGAAAGUUGCAAAGAAAUGUAUAAGGAGAUCUCGUGCACCUUCCCACAGUGUUAACAUUUUAUGGAACUACAUUAUAAUAUCUACACCGGGAAACUGCCAUUGGCACAAUUCACAGACUUAUCCCGAGUUCACUGUUAUCUGCACACUCAUUUGUGAGUGUGUGUCUCUGUGCAGUUUACCACGUGUGUGGCUUUGCAUAACCACCACCAUAAUCAAGAUACUUAACUGUGCUGUCAUCAGGCUCCUUCCUGUCACCCCUUUAUAGCUACGCCCAUCCUCUCCCCAAUCCCUAACCCCUGGCAACAACUCGUCUGCCCUCUAGUUCUAUAAUUUUGUCAUUUCAAGAAUGCUAUAUAAAUAGAAUCAUACAGCAAAUAAACUUUGGGGACUGGCAAUUUUCACCAAGCAUAAUUCCCUGGCGAUUCAUCCUGGGAAUGUUCAUUCCUUUUUAUUGCAUCUGGUUCUCCCUGGUAUGGAUGGACCAGCGUUCAUUUAAUUAUUCACCCAUUGAAGGACAUUUGAAUAGUUUCCAGUUUGGGUCUAUUACAAAUAAAGCUGCUGUGAACAUUCACAUACAAGUUCCUGUGUGAAAAUAAGUCUUCAUUUCAUUCUGAGAUACAUGUCCAAGACUGCAAUUGUUGUGGGUUGUAUUGUAAGGACCAUUUUUAGUUUUGAAAGGAACUGCCAAGCUAUUUUCCAGAGUGGCUUACAGAGAAGCCAUUUAUUUGAAAUAAUCCUAUUCUUAUGUUUUCAUUCCUUUAAAGCAUCUUUAUUUGUUCCCCGCUUAUAAGAUAAUUUGUUUCUAAGAGGUAACAUAAAUACAAAUUUGAUAACAUUCUGUUAUUUGUACCUUCGUUGCAAUUCUAUCUUCAUUUUCUAUUGCUAUUUAUAGUUUUUAGCAUUCAUUUUCUCAGCUAUUUAUCUAUUUAUGCUUUAAUCAUGACUCCUCAUCACCUGAAAAAUCAGGUACCUCAGAAAUAGGCCCCGAGGUGAGGAUUCUCGUGUGUGUGAUUUCUGGGCUUCGGCUGUUACGAAGAAAGCUGCUGUGAACAUCUGAGUACAGGUUGUUGCGUGGCAUAGGCCUUCUUUUCUCUUGGGUAUAUACCUAGAAGUGAGAUUGCUGGCUGUAUGUUAAGUGUAUGUUUAGUUCUAUAAGGAAUAUCAAAUCAUUUCCCAGAGUAGCUGUGCCAUUUUGCUUUCUCACCAGCAGCAAUGUGGGAGAGAUCCAGUCGCUCUGCAGCCUCAUCAGCGCUUGGAAUUAUCAGGUUUUUCCUUCACAUUUUAAUAGAUGUGUAGUGGUCUCUCACCGUGGUUUUAAUUGGCAUUUUCCUAAUGGCUAAUGAUGUGAGUAUUUUUAAUAUACUUAUUACCUUCCAUAUAACCUCUUUGCUGAAGCGUCCAAGUAUUUUGUUCAGUUUUAAAUUGAGUUAUAUCCUUUCUUUCUGUUGAGUUUUGAGGGUUCUUUAU